rnacentral:lncRNA from 1 species
GGAGCGGUCGGGUAACUUAGUGUGGAAAAGAGUUUUCUUUAGAUAGGAAAGCGCAUUUCUAGCGCAGGUUGGAAAGCCGACAGGCCCCAGUAACUGGCGGGGGAGGCAGCUUGCGGGACGCUGCCGGGGGUGGCGGUUGCUGAGGGCUGCGCCAGUGUCGCCUCAGACUCCCCCGGCAUUGGGCCAGACGGGGGGUAGGGUGGGGGGGAAGCUCAGAAUGCUCGAGGGGGUGAAGGCGGAGGAUGGGUGGGGAAGGAAGGGCUGGAAAAUGGGAAGAGGUCGCUCUGUCUCGGAAACUACAUAAUGGCUGGGAAGGACUGCCAAACAAGACUGAAACCGGUAGGAAGUUGUACAAUAUUACCACCUCUUGAGAACAAAAUUAUUAUUUUUCCAACUCAGACUUUAUUUUCUUGGGCUCCAAAAUCACUGCAGAUGGUGACUGUAGUCAUGAAAUUAAAAGAUGCUUGUCCCUUGGAAGAAGAGCUAUGACCAACCUAGACAUAUUAAAAAUCAGAGACAUUACUUUGCUGACAAAUGUUCAUCUAGUCAAAGCUAUGGUUUUUCCAGUAAUCAUGUAUGGAUGUGAGAGUUGGACCAUAAAGAAAGCUGAACACUGAAUAAUUGAUGCUUUUGAACUGUGGUGUUGGAGAAGACUCUUGAGAGUCCCUUGGACUGCAAGGAGAUAUAACUAGUCAAUCCUAAAGGAAAUAAGUCCUGAAUAUUCACUGGAAGGAAUGAUGCUGAAGCUGAAGCUCUAAUAACUUUGGCUACCUGAUGUGAAGAGCUGACUCAUUGGAAAAGACUCUGAUGCUGGGAAAGAUUGAAGGCAGGAGGAGAAGGGGACAACAGAGGAUGAGAUGGUUGGAUGGCAUCACCGACUCUUUGGACGUGUGUUUGUGCAAGCUCUGGGAGUUAAUAAUGUACAGGGAGGCCUGGCCUGCUGCAGUCCAUGGAUCGCAAAGAAUUGGACAUGACUGAGCAACUGAACUGACAUGUUUCUUGUUUGUUUCCUGAACAAAUAAAUGAAUAACAGAUUGAAGAAGCA